GCACCAUUAGUUUAGCGGCAGAAUGCGACCUUGCCAAGGUCGUGACCCGAGUUCAACUCUCGGAUGGUGCA
rnacentral:tRNA from 1 species